CCAUCUCUCUCAACCUCAUCUGUCUCUUCUCCUUCUUAGAUCGACGCCCUUGCUUCUCCGUCCGCGUUGUGAAACCUCGGCCACGUUGCUCGUAGUCUAGCUUGUUUUUUUUUUUGUUGGUCCAGUCCGCGGAAGAAGAAAAAAAAAGCCGCGUCGCAUCAAAAAAAGCACCGCCCGCGAGCGAGCUCCUCUCCGCGAGCCCUAGCCACCUUCCUCUCCGCGAGCGAGCUCCUCUCCGCGAGCCACCGCCCUCUCCACGAGCGAGCUCCUCUUCGCGACCAGCCACCUUCCUCGCCGCCGUUCUUCUCCUCAGCUUCAUCCGGGUGGGUUUUCACCCCGUUCCUGCUUCCUCCUCUGGCGCCCCUUGGUAGGUCGGGGGAUGAGGUGAUUGAUAGAAGGGUGGCGCGGUUGGACCCGGGGAGCGUGCUCGAUGGGUAGGUUAGGGUUCCGGGUGGCGUUGGGGUGUGCGGCCGUGUCGUGCGCCAUCGCUGCGGCGCUAGUUGGUCGGAGGCUGAGGAGCAGGAGGCAGUGGAGCCGAGCGGUGGAGCUGGUGAGGGAGUUCGAGGAGGCGUGCGCCACCCCUGUCGGGAGGCUGCGUCAGGUGGUCGAUGCCAUGGCGGUGGAGAUGCACGCAGGGCUCGCGUCGGAUGGGGGUAGCAAGCUCAAGAUGUUGCUGACCUUCAUCGAUAAACUUCCUGAUGGGUGAAAGAUUUUCUGAGAUAGUUGGAAGCCCUUAUUACAUGGCUCCAGAAGUUUUAAAACGGAAUUAUGGACCAGAAAUUGAUAUAUGGAGUGCUGGAGUUAUACUCUAUAUCUUACUGUGUGGAGUUCCACCAUUUUGGGCUGAUACAUUUUCUAUCUUAAUUGCAGAAACUGAACAGGGAGUUGCAAAGCAAGGCAGUCUUUCAUGAUCUUUCAUGAUUCACAUAUUCAAAGUUUUUAUGUGAGUAUUGAUUCUUCAUUAUUUUCUGAUAUGGUAUUGCUAAUUUAUAAAGAUUAGCUUGAACUAAACACAAUCAUUACUGUUAGUUCCAUAACAAAAUAUCUUUAGGAUUCAGAAUUGCUCAUACUUUUUUUUUUUUUUUAAUCAUAAACAUAUUCCUUAUAAUCUGGUAAGUUGAUAAUGGUCUAAUAUGUCAAAAUGUGGUAUCCUUCUUGAUGGUGAGCCAGGUUAGUUAAUGAUCGACUUUCUUGCACAUUAAAAGGGGAAUGCUCUCAAAGACGCUGGACAUUAUAGGGUGACUUUUUAAUUUGGAUAUUUUUAUUCUCUUAAGUUUUUUUUCCUUGUUGAAUAACUUCAUUUUAAUAAUUUUUCCCAAGUCAUCCUUUGCUUUACAACCUAACCAUCCACAAGCAUUGUCAAGCCUUGGCAACAUAUACAUGGAUUGGUAAGCUUUAGAAAUGUUUGAUGACAACUGUGCGGAUACUUUAUUUUUGUUUCUUAAUGAAACUUCUCUUCAUGCAUGAAGUACAUAGAAUAUCAUUGAUAAAGCUGCAGGUUGUCAAAAAAGACUAUCGGUAAUUAGGAAGCUAAUUUCAAAAUUUUCACAUUUGCAUACUUCACUGGUGAGCUGAUCAUAUCAAUAUUUCCUAGUUGUCAAAGCAAUAUUCACAAAUUACAAUUACAAUUGAAAUUGCUAGGGUUGUAAAUGAGCUACACCGAUGUUCAAGCUUGUUUAUUAGAAAACAAACUAGUGUAUUGUUGAACCAACCCCAAGAUGUUACUGAGAGCAACUAGAGAAAACAUUUUACUUGAUCCAAUAACUGAGACUUGUAUCAAUUACUCAAUUUUCACAUUUUCUAGAUAAUUUAAACUUUAAAAUAACAACAUACACAAAUACUAUCAGAAAUAUAUAAAUGUAUUAUAUUCUACAUACAUUUAAAUAGCAAAACUAAAGAAAAAGGAUCAUAAACAAACCUUAGAGAAAGCCAGACUACUAGCUUUAAAGCAUGCCCAUUUAUGUUAUUGAACUUACAACAAAUGUUCAAGCAUUUAAGCUUGUUUAUUUUAUAUAUGUUUUUUUUUCAUGCUGAAUGAACACAAAUGAACACUUGUCAGGCUGAGUAUCUAGCUUGUUCACAAACAUUCUGUUCAUUUACAGCCUUGAAAAUUGCUUUAACAUGUGAAUAUAUUUCCUUGAAGAUAUUAGCUAAGUUACUUGUUAGUGGACAGUGGACACUGUCAGUUAGCAUUUCUCAGCAAUAUGGACAUGUGAUUACAGCCAUGCUACAUUCUGCUAAAAAUACAUAUCACGUUACAUGUUUUUUACACUACCACGGGGCCGAAUUUCAUUAUAAAGUUGACUUAGUAUAGAUGAUUCAUUUAAGAUGUAAUCUAAUGAUUGAUUUUAUAGUAGAUGAAAAGAUAAUCCACUAUAAAGUUUAUCUGUAAAUAUAUUCUAUGUAAACAUAAAACAAAAGAUAUCCAAUGAUCUUCUUCUCUGCAUCUCGAGAAGUUCUAACAAUAGCAACUAGGGGGCUUAGAAAUCACAAUGAAGUUCUUCUGGUUGGUAGCAGAAAUCACAGAAAAUAGGAGGCUUAGUGCAAGAUAUUCAGGAUAUCAAGAUGACAUUAGAGGUAGUACAAUAAAUAGUAGAUCUCUUCAUCAGAGGUAGCUUUGUUCUUCUAUGCUUCCUUCACUGGAUUUGUUGUGUAGUCAUAUUUCUUUGUUCAACCAUUAUCAUGCCUAGUAAUUUGU